ensembl:snRNA U6 U6 spliceosomal RNA
AUGCUUGCUUCGGCAGCACAUAUACUAAAAUCGGAAAGAUACAUGGCUCCUGCGCAAGGAUGACACACAAAUUUGUGAAGCAUUCCGUAUUUUU